rnacentral:misc_RNA from 1 species
UUGAAUACGCUUGAGUGCUGAUGCUGGCCUUCGGGCAUGUGCUCGCAUUCAAACUUAUUUAUCUUCACUUGUGCACCUUUUGUAGUCUCUGAGGUUUAUUUUCCGCUGCAAAUGCGGGUUUGGGGGCUUGAGCGCAGGCCCCUGGGGCUUCAGAGAACUAUGUCUUCAUAUACUCUAUUAAAGUUACAGAACGUCUAUUUAACGGCCUUCACUGGUCAUUAAACCUUAUA